GAAAUUGGAUUGUGUUAUUUGGCGUCAUUUGGGAUGCAGAAGCACGUUCUCUCCUAUUUCCCCGCUUAUUUAAGCGGCGUUUCGCAGCCACGCGCGAAAGGCAGAUUUACACCUUCCUGCCAGACAGCCCGAAGGCAGCGGGAGCUCAGGACCGAUCUGAUUUGCGGGGGGAACAGCUGAAUAUUCCCCAUCCUCUGCAUAACAACACACAUCCCUCGUGCCCAGCGAGCCAUCCUGAUACAACUCGGCCUUCAGGUUUCGGCAGCGCGGCCGCACUGCAAACUUCGGCAUGUUUGCCUCUGCCCCCAGCAGCCCCACGAGCCCCAUCUCUGCACCCCUUUUUGAAGUUUGCACCGACUGCAGUGAAAGAAAUGCAAUCAAAUCGCAAUGGAAUUGCAGUGGGAUGGGGAAGCAGCGUCUGUCCGCCGUCCCUGUGGUGCAAAUUGCCUCAAUCCACACUCGUCUCCGCCUGGCUGGGGGAAAGGGUGAGCUGCCCUUCUGCACUGGUUUUGGGGUGGAUUUCAGGUUUUUUGGGGCAGCUGGGAGCAGCAGGAGAGGCUCCUGGAGGGGUACUGCCCAUGUCCCAUCCCCGCACCUACAGCAAGUUCACGGCCUCGAGCUGCCAGCUCUGAUCCUCCCUGUGGGGUAAUGAAGUGCUCCCCAAACAUACCUCCAGAAGCCCAAGUGGGGCAUCGUGAACACGCAAUAUUAUGUUUUUCCCUAUAUUUAUUUACGCUUCCCAGACUGCUGUUUUAUAGCACAAAGCUGCCAUGGCACCCCAAAUCCUUCCUAUUAGGCAAAAGCAAGAAAGCAUUUCUUUUAAUAUUGUUUUCUGUCACCUUUGAGUACAGUUUCACUGAGCUUUUCCUGCAGCACUGUUUAUCAGUGAGAAAUAAAUGCCGUUCCCAAUUGCAUAGACUGCAUUUCUGAGUCUGCAAUUCCAGCUAUGUCUGCAUGCACUUGAUCUUCGUUAGUAAUAAUAAUAAUUAAUAUGAUGGUAUUGACAGACUGCUCUGCAAUUAGCGCUGUCCAAAGAUGGCAUUUUCCACUAAGCAAAAUUGCCGGAGGAAAAUGAAAGUGCUGCAAGGACCGCUCGGUUUAACAGAGCCUUGCGCCAAGGGUUACGUUUCCACCCAGAGACUGCGCAGAGAAAGAAAAUAUCCUAAGGAAAGGCCAAGGAAGGAGCUUGGGCUCCACCGUGCCCUGAGCUGCCCACCAAGGAGCUGCCUUCCACACCAUCCCCAUUUCUGUCCGUAUGUUGGGCAGCUUCAUCCCAUCGGCGCGGUGCUACGUGAGAGCCCGGCACAAAGCACGGGGAGGCCGCAGCCGCAGGGCAACGGCACCGAGCUGUGCUCAGCACGGGGCUUGGAACCCCCAAAUCACCUGAAAGCUGCCCAGCAUUUCUGCAACUACAAGUCUUCGUGUUGGUCAUUUCAUUUUCUUAAGUGGUUUUUAUGGCUAAGAACUCAUCUGCGACCACCGCGUAAAGGCGGUAUAUUUUUUUCCCCAUGGGAAGAGAUGCCACGGUAGUCAAAUAGAAAUGUAUAAAUGAUCCAAUACAACAGCUCCUGGAUUUCCUUCACAUUCACCAUCGCACAGCUUCCCAAAAUCCCUUCCUCAAUGGCCUUUAUCCUUGUAGGUGCUCUGUUCCCCAUUUUAAACAGUCUCCUAAUGUUCGAGUGAAUGCAAAAGGCAUUGGCAAGGCCAAGCCUUCGCCGACGCCUGACUUUCACUUUGAUAACACCUAAAAAUAAUGCAAAAGACUGAGAAAAUCCCACGGGACAAGAUGGGAAAUGUGCUCUCUAAAACGCAGCUUAAAAAGUGCAAUCCUGAAAUUUAUCGGCCGACGAAUGCGAGCCGUUCGCCUUUCGUUUUGUUAACUCCAAAGCCAACAGCGAUACCUCCACGAAGGGACCGUGGGCAACAGAAAGAGAUUUAUGAGGGCAGCCCCUCGGCCCCACUCUUCUCCCCAUUUCUCCUUUCACUCUAUCCAAAACACAACAGCAAUAUGUUAAGCCUUGUGGGGCAAUUUCUUUGGUUUUAGGAUAGGGCUGCUCAUGGAAAUUCAGGUGUCGGCCGCAGAUGGGGAUCGGCUCAAGGGAUCCCGGACGGGAUUUUGGCAAUGGGAACUCUAAAAUCUAAUUCUGGGGCACUCAGCUGUGCUGAGCCACCCGGGACACCCCAAAAAAGCCAAACCAGGUGCAAGCGGCUGUAAGAAUGAAAGUGGAUGUGUUUCUUCAUCUCUACCACGUUUUCCCAGUCUCUAACCGACCCUCCCAAAAACUACAAAGAGGACACAGCACAAAGCAGCCCAAGGGCGAGAGCUGAGAUUCACAUACUGAACUUCUCUCAUGCAUUCAGUCCCUAAAUUUCCCCCUUCUGCACCAAAACCAAGCCCGGGAAAGGGCUGCCUAUGUGCUCCUGCGGACUGCAAUGGGAUGGCCCCAAAAUGCCCACGCAGCUAUUUGCAGAGCAAACCCUUCCACCGGAGCUCGGCACGUGAUUUCUGGCCGCUCCAGGCCUACCUCCAUUUAACUUCUGCAUUUUUUCCUUUGGAACCGUGUCCCUUGAGGACUUUUUGCAACGGCUGCAUUGUGUCCAUCACGGCGCAACCCAUGGGGAACCCCAAAAUUUUGCAUCUCCGACGGAGAUGCAUUCAAAACCCUCCAGAGAGAAGGAUGAGCGGAUAAAGAUUUGGGGAGCACACAGAGUGAAACCCUCCCUUCUCCCUUCUCCCUUCUCCCUUCUCCCUUCUCCCUUCUCCCUUCUCCCUUCUCCCUUCUCCCUUCUCCCUUCUCCCUUCUCCCUUCUCCCUUCUCCCUUCUCCCACCCCAUCCCUGCCUCGGGGCGUUGCGCUCACCGAUGUUGGCAUGCCGGGCGGCUGCGGGUGUCCCUCUGCUCUGCAGGUUGUGCAGCAUGGGGCUGUCGAAGGGCGAAGAAGUCCAAGUGGUGGCCAUUUCAGGGCUCACGUACGCCGGGUAAGGGCUGGAGUAGGAGCUGCCGAAGCCCCGGCUGUAUUGCUCCCUCCCGUUAGCAGAAAGGCUCAGGGAGCUGCUGUAAGCCGCCGCGGCAUCCCGCGAUGAGGUGGAGGGGAUGGGAGUGCUGGUGGAGAAGGAGAAGCGAGGUGACACGGGCGGGUGGGAAGAUCCGGGGUUGUAUGCGGCGCUUUCGGCUCCAGGUUGAGUCCAGAUGGAGUGGCUGGAGACGGGGCUGGCUUGCUGGGAAGAGCCGCUGCUGGGCAGGGGAUGGAUCCUAGAAAACCCAAGGCCGGUUGGGGUGGAGAACUACGUCCGGAGAACCAACUCUUGGAACUGAUUUGAGUUGAACCAACAGAUCCCCCAGGUUGAACCCCUCCGCCGGGCUGAAUUUAGCAGCAGGAGAGAUAACCGGGAGAUAAGGGCUGAUACCCGGCAGGACAGCGGGAGAGCGGCCGAGGGAAGGGGGAGAAGCUGGAAGACGAGUCCUGCAGUGCUUCAGGAGCGGAAACAGAAGAAUUUCGAUGGAGAGCGGUUACAGCUCUGCGAGCAGCACCGCCAGGAGCAGAGAUCUCAAGGAUCCCCUUUGGCUUUGGCUUUCCGAAUGACAACAAAACAGAGCCACGGAAAGCAGAACACGGACCCACGUCCCCGUGCGGGCAAAGCCCCGCAGCGCCGAGCAUCGAAAACGCUGCGGGGGCGAAGGAGCGGACGGGAGGGGGGGGGUGGGGGAAACUGAGCUCCUGUCGUACCCCGAAAACAUUCGUAUAUCUUCACCGUUAUAACUAAAAACGAAAGCAGAAGUCGGGAAUGCGGCGGAGCGCGGGGAAAGUCAAUCGAUCGAUUAGCGAAGAAAUCAAUAAACGAAGGAGUAAAUC